GACGAACCGUGCGAACGUUGUUCGGAUUCACUGGGCUUAAAGGGCGCGUAGGCGGGCUGCCAAGUCAGGGGUGAAAUCUUUCGGCUCAACCGGAAAAGUGCCUCUGAUACUGGCGGCCUCGAGGGAGGUAGGGGCGUGUGGAACUUCCGGUGGAGCGGUGAAAUGCGUAGAUAUCGGAAGGAACGCCGGUGGCGAAAGCGACGCGCUGGACCUCUUCUGACGCUGAGGCGCGAAAGCCAGGGGAGCAAACGGG
rnacentral:rRNA from 1 species